AAAUACCAGAAGUGUCAACGUGCCAUCCCUUAUUAACCCCCCAACUUCGGGAAUCCCGGCAGAAAUAACAUCACUGAGAGCCUUCCUGCAGCGAGGCAUAUGAGCCUGCGCCUCAGGCCCAGAACUGCAGGGGCCUCGGCCCAUUAUUAUUUUUAAUAUUCGAUUAAUUGAAAUGAGAAAGGAAAUUCUAUCUUCCAAUCGUUUUUCCCUCAUUCACCGGUGACUGGGGAAUCGAUUGCUCCCAGAGUCCUUGAGUCCCGCCUCAAACUCCAACCGGACGACGACCAGGCUGGCAGACGAGGUGACGGCGUCAGCCCUCAUUUGAAGUUCAUCUCCUCCUUAGGCGUCUUCUUCUCCAAUCUCCACUCUCUUUCAUAAAUUACACGAGCACUCAUCAAACCACAAAACAAUUUCAACCCUAACGCUCGGCCGGCCCUCACAGCUGCUCGCUCCGUGACCAGUGACCUCCGUCGCUCGAGUUGCCACCCAACACGGUAACAGGCUUUAUGAUAUUUACGGGUCAAUUUUACAGUUUCUCUCUUGGGUUUUUGGUUUUCUGAAUUAUAUUGAAUCUUUAAAGAAAUUCACUUUAUUUAUGAAUCUUGUAUGCCCUUUUUGGAAUUUGUUUAUAUGUGUUUUUGCACGAUUUGUGACAUUCUAAAAUUCAAUCAUUUAUUAGAGUAAUUAAGGUUUGUAUGAUUCUCUUUAUCUUGCAUUUCCUGCAUCCGAAUGAGUUGUUACUUGUAACUUAAUUACCUUAUUUUAAAAAUUUAGAUGGUUGAGGAUUUCAAGUUGUCUUUUUGAUGAAUAACAGUAACAUCACUUGAUUCACUUCUGCGAUUGUGCCUGCUUUAGUUAUCUCUUAAGAGUAUGAUAUGAGCUUGUUAGUUUGAAGUUUGAACCCCUCGCGUCUCUUUGUGCUUUGGGUUUUAAUUUGGUUUUUUGUUCUUUGAACUUUUUUCCCCCUUCCUAUUUAUUUCGUUUAAUGCUAUGCUAUCAAAUAUCAAUUACAAUAAAUUUGUUGAUUAACAAUGCUGUAAAAUGGGAUUUUGUUAAUUUUUACUACCGAAAUUCCAAGUUUCAAAUUUACUACCAAAUUUGAGUAUUUGAUUUAUUAUAUCGAAGUCAUGAUAGUUAUUUGGAAACAUGGAGGAAAGAGGAAAUAAAAACUAGUUGAAUGAAAGAAAGAUAAGAAGUCUGUCUAGAAGCAUAUCUGAUACAUGGAAUGGAGUAGAGUGAUAGAUGCACAUUGAGUUAAAUGUUUAUGCAAUAGAAUUAUAUAUUUGUAAUUGUAUUGGUGUUUGAUAUUAAAUUUUUAUUUCAGGCUUGUGAGUUGUGACGGUGGUCCGUGGAAUUCUCAAGGGCGUGAUUUCAUAAUUUUCGUUGAAAUUCUACUUUUCAGGUAAACAAUGGCUCGCCCUAACAUGUUAUUGAAUAUAUUGGAAAUGUUUGAAAUCUUGUCGGCUUAUAUAAUUGCAGUCUGGUCGGCUUAUAUGAUUGGUUAUCAUAUGAUUAAUUGUACAGACGCACGUAGUAACUAUAUUGAAAACUCUAAUUUUGAGAUAAUUGAGAUAUUUUUAAUUGUCUUUUAGAUUAAUCAUUG
rnacentral:lncRNA from 1 species